UACGGGGGGAGCAAACGUUGUUCGGAAUCACUGGGCGUAAAGGGCGUGUAGGCGGCUGAAUAAGUGGGAUGUUAAAUCCCCCGGCUCAACCGGGGACCUGCAUCUCAUACUGUUCAGCUCGAGCACAUCAGAGGAGACUGGAAUUCCCGGUGUAGCGGUGAAAUGCGUAGAUAUCGUGAGGAAUACCAGAGGCGAAGGCGGCUCCCUGGACAAUUGCUGACACUCAGGCACGAAAGCGUGGGGAGCAAAAGGG
rnacentral:rRNA from 1 species